rnacentral:snoRNA from 1 species
GAAGCAGGUGAUGACAAUCAGACAGGGACAUCAGAACCAUCUAAUGGUUAUGAUAUACCAAGUCUAAUGGGAAUCUCUCUGAUGUUUC